rnacentral:lncRNA from 1 species
AUGUGUGUGCGCGCACACACACACACACACACACACACACCCAGCUCUCAAGUCCUUGUAGGACCAUGUCCACCCCAUCCACCCCCCAAGCCUCUUCUCCACCCAGGCCUAGUUCCACAGGCCCUCCCCUCCCCCAUUUCCUGGGGUGUCCCCAGAGGCCCCUCCUACCCAAGGAUGGAUCUGAAGGUCGGUUCUGGAAAGGAACCUGGGGAAACAACUUCAGGAGGAGACGGAUGUCCGGCAUACUUAGAAAAUACAGAUUUUUGUACCGUGUGUCCCUCGCGUGCAUCGCUCGUGCGUGAGAAACAGAGUGGCUAAAUUGUCCUCCUAACCGCAGAGUCUGACCCCGGGCUGGCUGACAGUGACGAGCCCGAGCUACCAUGGUGAGGUCCUGCCGGAGAGACCCCCGUGGAGAUGAGCCUGAAGCCACCUUAGGACCUUCAAGCCCUAACUGACCUCCAGCUGACUGCAGCCACGAGCGACCCCAGCUACAUGGGAGCAGAAGAAACAGCUGAGCUCAGCCAACGCACGGACCUGUGGGAAAUAAUAAAGCAUUGUGUUUUUUUUAAUGUUUUGAGAGA